rnacentral:lncRNA from 1 species
ACCUCAUUUCAGUCAAGCUAAUGCAAUGUUGUGCCCGGUUUACAUUAAACUGCUGUAUGCUUUACAGCUGAAUCCCCCAAAUUCUUCAUCAAACGCAAACCAAGUUCAACAAUAUCAAUUGUCCCCAGGAGAACAUCCGAGAAUUCAGGUACUUGUUCUGGAUACUUGAUCACAAACAUGUCCAAGAAUUUUUCUUCAGAAUAUCCAAGAAUAGAAGCUAAACUGAUUUCUGCUCUGAUCAAACCCUUUAGAAUCAAAACUCUUAAAACUGAACACCUUGGAACAACCCUCUUCUCGAAACUAUAACAUAAAACAACUGGAUAUUUUGCAAUAAUUGCAGGCUGCCAACCCAUUUUGUUCACAAGAAAAUCUAUCUUCUUUAUAAUUGUCUUCUCUGAGUAACCCAUACACAGUGGACGCUUUUUGAUGACAGACCAUAUUUCUUCUUCCGAAAAACCCAACCUACUGAAAGCAUCAAUUUUUUGUUUCCAUGUUUUGGAUUUCAUUUGCAUUAUCAUUCGAAGAGCAUUGGCAAAUGAAAUAUUCCGAGGAUCAAAUCCCAUACCUACAACAUUUUUAAUAGCUUCACUAAACCUUUCAGAAUUUGCGCAUACAGCGUUGGGGCAAUUGGUAAUCAAAAUAGAGAUGGUAGAUUGACGCAUUCCGAGCUCUCUUAAGACUGAUAAAUUAACAGGCAAGUGUUCCUUGACAUAGCACAUGUUGAAUGCUGAUAUGCGUUUCAAUAUAAUAAGGCCUCACUCAUCAGAAAAUAACAAACUUUUAAUAACAGCAUAAACUGGGAUCAAAAGAUUGUUCAAGCUGCCAGACAAGAAAACGGGGUUCUUAGAUAUCAUCACCGGAAGGUCAGAAACCCCAAUAGAACGUAAAAAUUGAAUCUUUGGUAAUAUUGUCUUCACGGGAUCGAAUAAAAUCAACUUGGGCUGUCCCCUAAUAACUUGAGAUAUCUGGUAUUUGGUGAGUCCAUAGUCUUUGAGAAGAUUAAUGACAGCAUCUGGUCUUUCGGAGUUUUCAAAAUUUACGUACUUUGAAACACGUUUAGCAGAUUGUGAGGAUAAGCCACAUGAGUUGAUGAGGUAUGACACUGUAAAAGAGUGUGUAUUAGAUUUAGAUGAAAAAUACCUGAUUGUAACCAGUGCUUUAAAAUGAAUAAUACCCAAUUGGGCACUGUUCGAGUCUAACAGCGCACGACUCCAAUCAUUUAACGCCAAUCUUCUAUUGGAGAAACGGAACAUCAUAUGAAAGGCCAACUCACCGAGUUUAGGAGGGGAAACAGCUGGAAUUGGACGUUUUGCUUUAUCUGCCUUGUAAAUCAGUGAGCUAUAAAAUCGAAAAUACGAUUUUUACCCAGAAAACCAUUCAGCAAUACGAAACUUUCUGAGAAUUUAACAUCAAAAGAGCCAUAAUAUUGCCUGCUCUGCCUCCAUUCCGGCAGUUCAAGAUAGGUCACGGUACUUAAGCGUUUUAGGGUUUUGCAGUUGCAAGAGCGAAGAGGAGAAAUCAAUUAUAUUUACUCAAACACGCUGCCGUUUUCAGUUAGCUGGUGCUUUUAGAGGCUGAGUCCAGCAUGGGUCAGCAUAAUACCAGGCCCAACUCGAACCGAAACUGCAUUUCUUUCCCUGAACUGAUUUCACCGUUGUUGUUGCUUUUCAUUUGUAAUAAAAUUAUUUGUAAUGGAAAACAGUUACAAAAUGAUAUAUAGGGAUAUGCAGUUGCAAAAGAGAGCGAGAGUGAAGAGGAGAAAUCAAUUUUCAAUGUAAUUUUACAUUUUUUAUCAUUUCGCAGUUGAUUGCCGUUGUCAUUGCAUUUGUCAUUACAUCUACAACUACUAAGGACGAAUUCCAAACCAUCACAUAUCAGCAAUAAUUCUAAAAACUGAAAAAAGAAAAGAAAAGAUAAGUUCAAAAUGAUUCUGUACAAAUUACAAUAAUCAUCUUUUCUUUUGUUUUGUUUUACUUUCUCCUUCAUCUGCAGCUAUUGCUCCCACUCGAGUCUGUCUUCACCUUGAUUGUUAGUAUACGUGAAUAGUAUCCGUGAAUAGUAUCAGUAUACAUAAAUAGUAUCAGUAUACGUAAAUAGUACUAAUAUAUUUGAAUAGUAUCAGUAUACGCCGACGCCAAUAGUACUGUUUACAACCAACUUUGAGUUACUGUUUUACUAUUCACUACUAAGCGAUUGUUUUACUAUUCACCACUAAGUCGAUUGUUUUACUAUUCACCACUAAGUCGAUCUACAACUUCUUUCCGAGCGUAUAGCACCGAUGAACUCAUCGUAAUUUUCUUAUCGUCGUGGUAUAUUUGUUUUCAAAAUAUAUCCACGGAUCUGGUCCCGCUAUCUGACCAGCUGGACCUGCCGAAACCUUCGGCUCUGAUACCAGUUGUUGAAAAAAAUUACGCAAAAUCCCCAAUAACUUAGAUUUAUGAGGGAGCAAAAGAAAAUAAUAACACACAAUUUGAUAAUGGAGUUCGGCCAAUCUUGCCUACUUCUCCGGACUGCCACAUAUCUUUUAUAGAGAAAAAUAAAUAAAGUAUUUACAUACACUCACAACCCGCUAUCCAAGAAUACCCGAAAAAUUAAACUUAAUUUUUCUUCUUGCAUAAUCUCUCUAUUUUUCUCUCUUACAGUUGCUCUCUCUCUCAAUUGCUAUCACUCUCUAUUUGUCUUGUGUAUUUAAAUGAACUUCGUCUGCCUCUUUUUAUAGGCAGUUGUAUACUUUGUCAAAAGAAAAUUGACAACUUUUCUUCUUUUCCAAAUAACACGUUUUCCUUUUUUUUUUUUUUUCUUUUUUUCUUUUGCACAUGUGGGUCCCAUUUAAGUGGGACCACCAAAACCAACUUUGACAAGGUCCACCUAGAAGGAAGCAAUAAUACAAGGCAAAAGAUUAUUGACAUAUGAUUUGUAUCCAGUUUCUACGAGUUAGGUUCUCCAUUCUCACCGCAACUUGCUGUUAAAUUUUUUGUCAAAAUCUUCACCUUGUGGCAGUUCUUUUUCAUGAAAUUUCAAUGUAACUUUACAUUUUUUAUCAUUUCGUAGUUGUUUGCAUUUGUCAUUACAUAUCUUCAACUACUAAUGACGAAUACCAACCAUCACAUAUCAGCAAUAAUUCCAUAAAUUGGAAAAAGAAAAGAAAAGUUUAAAAUAAUUCUAUACAAAUUGCAAUAAUCAUCUUUUCUUAUCAGCUCCAAAAUCUUUUCUUUUCUUUUGUUUCACUUUCUCCGACUUCAUGUUGAUAUUGAUUUCACUCUUCUUCAGUAAUUCCCUCAGGAUAAAUCUGCAGAAAGAUUGGAACAUGUAAAAAUGAAAUUGUCAGUAAAGAAUUAUAUAUAUAUAUAUAUAUAUAUAUAUAUAAAGGGAGAGCGAAAAAAGAAAAAUUAUCUUACCUGACUGCGAUUUUCUUCAUGGAAACUUACGGUUCUAACUUUGAACUCCCCUCUGCUAGUAGUUAGCUCAUCUAACAUUUCUGCGUAACACACUUGGACUUUCCCUUCCUAAUUUCCUAAACCAGUUGCUUCAUUUUCCUGAUAAUUAAAAAGAAAAUGCACAAAAUUAGUACUAAUCCAAAAAAAUGUAUGUAUAGACUAAAGAUUGAAUAAACAGAUGGACAUACUGUCAAAGAAAGGCUGAAAGAUAGUCGUGGAGCUCUGGUAAUUUCCUCAUAUUCAGCUACAUCUAGUUCUCUUAAAUGAUGAGGACUAAACAGUUUGUAGAGGCUGAGUGCAUGGGUAUACACCGGGCCCAACUCGAACCGACAAUGCUUCCCUCCUAACUUGUGAUUUUCCUCUCAAAAAUUAUGAGAUUAUUGCGAGUUCAAUAUUCCAACCUAAUUAAUUGGAAAAAGUUCCCAAAGAAAAGCAGUGGUUCUGUACAAAAUCCUCCCUUUGAUUAAGAAAAGCAACGCAAAACUAAUUACCAUACAUGUCUAUGGAUUGACAAUGUUUAAUUUCAAAUUACAUGGUCUUUGCUGUUCAUUUUUAGAUAAAAAUUUUUGGUGAACAAAAAGCAUUUACAGAAUACUACUAGUACAAGACACACGAAUCUUCUUAUUAACAAAUAAAUUGAUAGACUCACCUAUUACAAGUUAAUUAGAAAAAGUAACCUCAUUUCAGUCAAGCUAAUGCAAUGUUGUGUCCGGUUUACAUUAAACUGCUGUAUGCUUUACAGCUGAAUCCCCAAAAUUCUUCAUCAAACUCAAACCCAGUUCAACAAUAUCAAUUUUCCCCAGGAGAACAUCCGAGAAUUCAGGUACCUGUUCUCGAUGCUUGAUCACAAACAUGUCCAAGAAUUUUUCUUCAGAAUAUCCAAGAAUAGAAGUUAAACUGAUUUCUGCUCUGAUCAAACCCUUUAGAAUCAAAACUCUUAUAACUGAACACCUUGGAACAACCCUCUUCUCG